rnacentral:rRNA from 1 species
GACGUAGGUGGCGAACGUUAUCCGGAAUUAUUGGGCGUAAAGGGCUCGUAGGUGGCCAACUAAGUCAGACGUGAAAUCCCUCAGCUUAACUGGGGAACUGCGUCUGAUACUGGAUGGCUUGAGUUUGGGAGAGGGAUGCGGAAUUCCAGGUGUAGCGGUGAAAUGCGUAGAUAUCAGGAGGAACACCCGUAGCGAAGGCGGCACUCUGGGCCGGAACUGACGCUGAGGAGCGAAAGCGUGGGGAGCGAACAGG